GCACACUUAUUAAAAAUCCACAGUAAAUAUUUGUCGAUCUUUGCUUUGUGAUUUUCUGGAUUAAUCUUAUUUGGAAAUCCACAGUCUCCCACUGAAAAAGCAAUCCGAAAACAAAGGACCUGGUGUCAGUUAGGAAUUUUAAGCAAUAGAGGUUGGACCAUUGCGGUUUAGACAAAUAAGGUAUUAUCUUUUCACUUAACAAGACAUUUUAGAAGGAGGCAGCUGCUAGCUAGCAUGGGCUCAGCAGCUUCAAAAUGUCAGGCUCAGGAUGCUUAUACUUUUUGGGGUUUUUUCCUCAUAGUGCCAAGAUGGCUGCUGCAUCUCCAGCUAUUGGGUCCGUUAUGAGCAGCAAGGCUUAAAGGAUGUAGCUCCCCGCUGAGUCAACUCCCUUUAAAGAACUUUCCAGAAAACUCCAUCCAACUUUUGCUACCUACAUGUCACAGGCUGCCCCAACUGCAAGGAAAAACAGAUUUUGAAUAUUUAUUAGCAGUCUCUGCCACAGACCUCCACGAUCCUUCUUUUCUCUUUUUUUCCAGUGAUGCAGAAUAAAGUGGCAAAUUGAACCCCACUUUUGUUUCUUGCUAAUUGUUCUCAUAAAACGCCCUUUUCACUCCAAGCCCAAGGCAGCUCAUUUUAGAAUGUCCAGAAAAAGAAAAAAAAGGAAACAUGGAAAAUUCUGAGUCACAGAAUAUUUCCUAUAUCACAGCAGAAAAAAAUUGGACUCUUCUAAAAUAAUGGUACUGGGAAGACUUUGUGUUUUUCCCAAUUUGCUAUAGUUUUGAGUUGUUAAAAGUCACUUUCAAUUUUUAGAGUACUAGAAGAGUUUCAAUCAAGCCAUUUUAAGUAAGACCCAUUCAUGACAGAGUUUAUUUCCAUUCUGUAUUGUCCUUUUCUUUUUGUAAAUACCACAGAACUUGAGUGUUUGCUUUUUCAUUUGUUAGUUUAUUUAUUUAUUCUAGGGUUCCAUUCAACAGCCAGACAGCUGGGUUAUGGAAAUGCCAAUUAUGAAUUCCCCACAGAUCUGAGCACUGAAUUUUCCACAAAACUGUUUGAUUUUUUUUUUCUCUCAGCAAGGCAAGCUAACUAAAUUUUAAGCAAACUUUAGACAAAGAACUCAAUAAUACCUUUUGCCAUGAUGCGUUAUGGAAAUCAGGAGGACAUUUUUUUUCUCCAAAAGAAAUCAUAUUUUUGAAUCUAAUGUUAUACUGCACAAGAGGCAAUAGAAGUUUUUCUAUGUGGUAAGUGACAUAAUUACUUUCAACUAAGCUUUGUAAAGCACUUUACAGUUUACGGAGCACAUUCAUAUGCAUUAUCUCAUGCUUGGAUGCUAUUUCAGAAGUCAUUACAGAGAGGGCCACUAUGUGGGGCUUGAGAGGCUGUUUGGCCACGUGCCAGUGCCCUCUGACAUUUAUUUCUGUCUUUCCUGAUGACUUGCCGACCCCCACCCCAGCCCUAAUAAUUUGACAAAAUUACUGAUUAUUUCAGCAUCAGGUAGAUACUAUGAGCUUCCUUUAUAUGGAGAUUUCCUUUACAAGCUCUUCUCAGCAAGGAGUUAUUUGAAAACAUUUAUUUUAUUUAUCUAUUCAGUAAACACUGAGUGUUAUUUGGUGCUAAACAUUGUGUUUAAAUGCUUAGUUACAUUUGGCCAUUCAACAACCCAAUGCCUCAUCUCAUUUGGCCAAACAACCCUACAAAGAAGAGACUAUUGUGAUCCACAGUUUAUAGCUGGGGAAACUGAGAACCAGAGAGACGAAGGGUAGCAAGACUACAAGCACCUAACCCUUACUCCCUGCCGGUCCCCUAAUUGUAAAGUGCUUAAGUCAAUAAAAGCAAAGUUUUGUUUUGUGAGACUG
rnacentral:lncRNA from 1 species